rnacentral:rRNA from 1 species
GGAUAACCUACCCUUAGGACCGGGAUAACCCUGGGAAACUGGGGCUAAUACUGGAUAGAUGAUUUUUCCUGCAAUGGUAUUUUGUCUAAAUGUUUUUUCGCCUAAGGAUGGGUCUGCGGCCGAUUAGGUAGUUGGUUAGGUAAUGGCUUACCAAGCCGUUUAUCGGUACGGGUUGUGAGAGCAAGAGCCCGGAGAUGGAACCUGAGACAAGGUUCCAGGCCCUACGGGGCGCAGCAGGCGCGAAACCUCCGCAAUGUGAGAAAUCGCGACGGGGGGAUCCCAAGUGCCAUUCUUAACGGGAUGGCUUUUCUUGAGUGUAAAAAGCUCUUGGAAUAAGAGCUGGGCAAGACCGGUGCCAGCCGCCGCGGUAACACCGGCAGCUCUAGUGGUAGCCAUUUUUAUUGGGCCUAAAGCGUUCGUAGCCGGUUUAAUAAGUCUCUGGUGAAAUCCCACAGCUUAACUGUGGGAAUUGCUGGAGAUACUAUUAGACUUGAGGUCGGGAGAGGUUAGAGGUACUCUCAGGGUAGGGGUGAAAUCCUGUAAUCCUGGGAGGACCACCUGUGGCGAAGGCGUCUAACUGGAACGAACCUGACGGUGAGGGACGAAAGCUAGGGGCGCGAACCGGAUUAGAUACCCGGGUAGUCCUAGCCGUAAACGAUGCGGACUUGGUGUUAGGAUGGCUUUGAGCCGCCCUAGUGCCGAAGGGAAGCUGUUAAGUCCGCCGCCUGGGAAGUACGGUCGCAAGACUGAAACU